GCCGGGCCUGUGCCAGGUGAAGCGUUGUUCCGUUUCGGCGGUCAAUGUCGAAUCCGAGUUCGGUCCCGUGCCUUUUGGCCUCCCGCGGAACCGUCUUGCUGCGAGGCUCCGGGUGCGCCCGUCAGGGCGUCCGGAAGUCCUCUUCGGCCGCCAUUCAACGGUCAGCUCAGAACUGGCACGGACCGGGGGAAUCCGACUGUCUAAUUAAAACAAAGCAUUGCGAUGGCCCCUGCGGGUGUUGACGCAAUGUGAUUUCUGCCCAGUGCUCUGAAUGUCAACGUGAAGAAAUUCAAGCAAGCGCGGGUAAACGGCGGGAGUAACUAUGACUCUCUUAUGACCUGGUCGCAGUCUGCCUGGAUGUGUCUAAGGCCUUUGACACAGUUCCUCAUUCUAUCUUAGGACCAGCACUGCGAAUGAAGGGUCUUCCCGAGCAGGUGGUACGGCUUGUGGAAGACUCCUAUAAGGAUCUGCACACAGUCGUCAAACAGGGCACGGCGGAAGUGACCCUAAGUCUCCAGCGAGGGGUGAAACAAGGCGACCCCCUCAGCCCCUUCUUAUUCAACGCAGUUUUGGAACCCCUUUUACUGCAGCUGGAGAGUCACCCGGGGUAUAAGGUUGGUGGAGAACUGGCUAGUGUCUCCUGCAUGGCCUUCGCUGACGACAUUUUUCUAAUAGCGGCUAAUGUACCUCAGGCAUGCACCCUGCUACGAGUUACGGAGGACUACUUAGAGAGGCUGGGAAUGAGGAUCUCAGCCCCGAAAUGUACGUCCUUCGAAAUACGCCCGACAAAAGACUCCUGGUACGUAGCAGACCCCGGGUUGACACUGACGAAGGGAGAGAGGAUCCCGGUUGCGGCCGUGGAUGCCGUGUUCAGUUAUCUCGGUGUGGAAAUAUCUCCUUGGGCCGGUAUUACAUCGGAGG
rnacentral:ncRNA from 1 species